rnacentral:rRNA from 1 species
AUUGAACGCUGGCGGAAUGCUUUACACAUGCAAGUCGAACGGCAGCACGGACUUCGGUCUGGUGGCGAGUGGCGAACGGGUGAGUAAUGUAUCGGAACGUGCCCAGUCGUGGGGGAUAACGUAGUGAAAAUUACGCUAAUACCGCAUACGAUCUAUGGAUGAAAGCGGGGGAUCGCAAGACCUCGCGCGAUUGGAGCGGCCGAUAUCAGAUUAGGUAGUUGGUGGGGUAAAGGCCCACCAAGCCAACGAUCUGUAGCUGGUCUGAGAGGACGACCAGCCACACUGGACCUGGGACACGGCCCAGACGCCUACGGGAGGCAGCAGUGGGGAAUUUUGGACAAUGGGCGAGAGCCUGAUCCAGCCAUUCCGCGUGCAGGAUGAAGGCCCUCGGGUUGUAAACUGCUUUUGUACAGAACGAAAAGGUUUCUACUAAUACUAGGAGCUCAUGACGGUACUGUAAGAAUAAGCACCGGCUAACUACGUGCCAGCCGCCGCAGUAA